UCCUACGGGAGGCAGCAGUGGGGAAUAUUGGACAAUGGGCGAAAGCCUGAUCCAGCCAUGCCGCGUGUGUGAAGAAGGUCUUCGGAUUGUAAAGCACUUUAAGUUGGGAGGAAGGGCAGUAAGUUAAUACCUUGCUGUUUUGACGUUACCGACAGAAUAAGCACCGGCUAACUCUGUGCCAGCAGCCGCGGUAAUA
rnacentral:rRNA from 1 species